rnacentral:miRNA from 1 species
CAACAACAACAAGAAGAAGAAGAU